CGCGUGACAACUUUCGAUCUCACCCAAGAUUUUAUCUAACAUCAACAUUGCCAAAUAGAGAGUAGUUUGCCUCUGCUUAUACUAAAACCUCAAAAACUGCACAGCAAGCCAAAUGUAUGCAAAGAACUUGAAAAGAUCAUUUCUUUGUGUCCAUGAGUUUAUUCAGUCUUGAGCUUUUCGAUUUGGUUCACACGUUUUAAAUUUUAUUAUCUAUUAAAACUCUAUUCUUAUUCUGCGUAACUUCCUUAUUGUAGAUAGACAUACAUAUGCAAAAUCUACAUAUGUACAUGUGUGCACUUAAGAAAACUAUUAAGUAUGUCCAUAUACAUAUCUAACGUAUCCGCUAUAUGUACAUGCACCAGAGAUAUCUGAUGCUAUGUUGGCAAUGAUCAUGACAAAUUAGAAUUACUAAUGUGAACUCAACUCGCUAAUUCAUGAUCCCAUAACAAACUCUGGUGCAUCUUCCCAUUCAGUCAGAGUCCAUCCCGUGAUUUAUUGCAGCAGCACCUACCUAACUGAGAUAGACAUACAUGGAGCGUGUGGUUGUGAGCAAGCACAGAUCAAGCACGAGAAAACUGCCACAAGCUGAAAAAUUCCGAAUUCAGGCACACAGAAAGUCAGCAAAAGCCAAUAAGUUUUCCAAAUGCAAUUAAAACUUUCAGUGGGAAAACUUGGAAAUACGUGUGUAACUUAUACUUACUGGCGUCCCCUGGGUUGUCAUCAUUAUCUUCGUCCUUGUAUAAAACUGGCCCUUCUUCUGAGUCUGAGUCGUCGUCAUCAUCAUCAUUCACAGCCACUCGGACAACUUCUUUGGGCUUUGAAUUCUCUUUGUUUUCCUCUCGUUCUCUGUAUGGCAAACUGACACCAAAUCGGAUAGGACGAGAGCUAGAUAAAUUAAUCAGAUAUACGCACAUUAAUAAUUAUUUGAGUCCAAAUAAGUAUAUGUAUAUAUAAUUGUAGCAAUAAUUAUAAUUCGCAGAAAUAACCAAUAUAGCAGAAAUUAAAUUGUAAAUAAUUAGUCAAUGGAUUAACCGACGGCAGUAUUAUUUAAACACAAUGUAUUUAUGACAUAAUGAUGUGAUUGCAUUAUUAUUAUUAUCAUCUUUACUAACACGGGAGACUCAAGGUAAAUUAAAUAAAUAAAAAACAACUAUUUCCCAGUA